AGAAUAUAUCACUUUUUAUUGUGACUUGUGAAAUAUUUUUCAAUAUUAGGAAUAUAAAAUAGUCGGCCGAACUUUCAAAACAAUAUUUUAUGAAAAUUUACUGGCUAGCUAUAUGAUAUUUGUUCAUUAGCGUUUGCAGAUAGUCCAUAGAAACGCAUGUAUAUAAAGGUUGCAAAUAACUAAUUGACCUUAUCGCAACAUCCGGGCACUUGCGUCAGUUAGAGUUACACGCCCCUUGACGACGGUGAAAACAAAAGCGCUGUCGCCAUUUUAUUUGCAUUGAAAUAUUUAACACUGCUCGCAAUUUUCUUAAGUUAAGGCACAUCUUCGCGACCAUUUUUUAGAAUAAAAUACCCAGAAAUAGAAAUUCUUUCAUAAUAAAAUUUAAUUUAAUGAACGAACACAAAUAAGGAUGAAAACAAACAACCAAUUAAUUUUAAAUAUAUGCAACAUAUAGUAGCUGAUUUGAACCUCUAUAUUUGUUACCUUAUAACCUUGUUACGUAUUAAAUAAAUUCUCAUGAUAAAUGUUAUUGUUUUUUUUUAAUUCACACCAAUUUCGACACUUUUUGUUUCCGCAUGUUAGGUAUUUGAAUGCCCCUUUCUUCAUCACAAACCGAUUAUCUCGUUAUGAUCGGAUACUGUCCAGACAAAGAAAACACGGUGUCAUAAAGCCAGCUGGGGACCUAUACUUGGGACUCUGCAUAAACCACAUGUGGUCAUUAAACACAAUUUAUGAUACCUCUAUGUCAUCUCUUGUCAUACUGAGCAGUCAUUUAAGCCAAAUUUUUAAUGCCGAAAUAAUUUAAUAUACAGUUGCUUUAUAAAACACGUUGACACCUUAAAUAAACAUUUAAUUAAAUUAAAUGCAAUAUUUUUCAUUUGAUUGUUUGCAUCAGUCUUAAAAUCGUGUAAGCUUUUGUAUUCUGGUGUUUAAUUGCCCCUUUGUUUUGCAUAAUCCAAUUAUCUCGUUUUGAUCAAAUAUUGUCCAAACUUAACUGACAAAAAGGUUUCAUAAAACACACUGGGUGGUUCAGACAGUGUCAUUUAACACGAUAGAUGCCACCAUGUCUCCUCUUUCUGGUAGUAUUAAGCAGUCAUUUGGAUGAAUAAUUAACGCCGAUGUACUUAACAGUUGCUUAAAUUAGAUAUGUGACAUAUGGUCAAAUAUAAAGUCAUGUCCAAUUUAGAUAAUCAGAAAUUUACACCGUAAAGAUACUAGCCCGAUUAAUUUAUUAAAGUAUUUAAUAAUUAUAAAAUUUACGUAAAAAAACAAGUAACGUAUUUAGCGUGUAUCAGUUAAUUAAAAAGACGUCAUUCCGUAUUAAGAUUUAAUGUUACGACAAUAAACGAUCGACAUCAUGAAAAAGAAAUUACGUUUGACAGCAACGGGGGUAAAUAAUGUUUGAAAAACAAAUAUUUAUACAGAUAUAUGUGUGUUAAUUUUAAUAUUUGUCACUCGUUCUCAUUACAAUGAACACAACUAAGGCUUUCAGUAAGUCAUGUACCAGAUGUCCCUACGUAUUUUACAGCUUCACAUUAGCAUGAUAAAUUGACUUAGUAGAAAUAUAAUUAUAAUGUUCGAAGAUGAAUGAACCCUGAAAAGAACGACAAUACUCGUUACAUCAACAUCUACCAGGAUACUCCCAUUAUUACAGAAUUAACAAAUUUACACGGUGUCUCAGUGAGAAAGUUAAUCAUGAAUGUCGCCGUACUCGAUCAUCGGCCACUUGGUCGGGUCAUUUUUCCAACAUUCAGCUUGCAAUUUGUACGGACAUUCAUUAAGUCCAAUUAGUUUUAUUUUCUGAUCAUAUCGGGCUUUCGAAGUGCAAUCUAACCCUUCAUAAUAGUCAAAAGACAUUUUAAACACCAAUUCCAGGACAUUUUAUUACCUAUCGACUUCCCAAUAGGAAUGCAAUUGACGAAAUAUCAGCAGAGGUGCUCAAUCCGCGUAGUAAAUCGUACCGUAUCUAGGGCGUUGUUUUCACCGUCGCUAAGGGACUGCCCCUUUUGUGACGUCAUCGCGAUAAGGUCAAUUGAUGGUGAUUGCAGUUGAAUAUGCAAUCGUGAUACAUCGGCUAUCUCGGAUUCCUCCGUAAGAUAGGAAUAUAAUCAUAGCCACACGCUAACCACCUGUGGGUUGGCAGUCCUCUUCUGAAUGUCGUCAAUUACGUUGAGCGCACGUGGAUCCGGGGAUCAAUGUGGAAGCCGGAGAACUGGAGCGUCUAUAGACAAACAGUUAGGACUAACAACGAUGUUGAAGGGUGGCAUCGAAGAAUCAAUACGCGAGCCGGGCGUGCUUACCUUGGAUUCUACAUGCUUGUCCCCCUUUCCCUUUUAUAUGUAAUAUUAAUGUUUGGUGUAAUAUUGUUUGCAAAUAAAUUUGUGUUGCGUAAAGGUAAGUAUAUUAUUAUACCGUUUAUUGAGUAGAGUUGUAUUUGAUUAUAUAUUUUUGUUUUAUAUGUAAAUAUUUAUGUUUGGUGUAAUAUGUAAGGAUAUUAUUAUACCGUUUAUUGAGUAGAGUUGUAUGUUAAUGUAUUGUGUAAUAUUGUGUUGUAUGUGAAUAAAUGGAUUUUUGUGAA